UUGGUGCACUUACACUGGGCUUCCUGGUC
rnacentral:piRNA from 1 species